rnacentral:rRNA from 1 species
UCAUAUGUGAUUUCUUAGAUCGUUGCGUCCCUUCGGGGAUGUUUGGAUAACUGUGGCAAUUCUAGAGCUAAUACAUGCAAUCAAGCUCCAACCUUCGGGGACGAGCGCUCUUAUUAGACCAAGGCCAACCUGCUGGGCAACUGGCAGUUAGCUGUGGUGACUCUGGAUAAACACAGUUGAUCGCACGACUUUACGUCGGCGACGUAUCUUUCAAGCGUAUGCCCUAUCAGCUGUCGACGGUAGGGUAGCGGCCUACCGUGGCAUCAACGGGUAACGGGGGAUCAGGGUCCGAUCCCGGAGAGUAAGCCUGAGAGACGGCUUACACAUCUAAGGAAGGCAGCAGGCGCGCAAAUUACCCAAUGGGGAAACCCUGAGGUAGUGACAAGAAAUAACAAUACGCGACUCUUUCGAGGCCGCGUAAUUGGAAUGAGCACAGUCUAAAUCCUUUAGCGAGGAUCAAUUGGAGGGCAAGUCUGGUGCCAGCAGCCGCGGUAAUUCCAGCUCCAAUAGCGUAUAUUAAAGUUGCUGCAGUUAAAAAGCUCGUAGUUGACAAUCGGCGCUCGUCUCGGCGGUCCUGUUCACGCAGGCACUGCCUUGACGGCCUCUACACACUGGCUUGCGGUCGUGCAGGCUGGGAGACUGGCAGCACGUACCAGAGCCCCGGGUGCCCUUCAUUGGGUGCCCGUGGGUGGCCUUUGCGUUUACUUUGAAGAAAUUAGAGUGUUCAAAGCGGGCUCUUGAUAGCUCGGAUACUCGUACAUGGAAUAAUGGAAUAGGACCCUGGGUCAUUUCCGUUGGUCUAUGGCCAUUGGGUAAUG